UUUCCAGGUGUCGAAAGCCAAGUGCAGAUCAAGGCUGUUUAGCUUCUCUUGAUAAAACAAACCUCUCUUCCAAGAAUUAGCCUAACAAGCCUUCACUGGAUAUCCUUCAAUGUGACUUAUCCAGUUCACAGGACGUUAUUGCAAGAGGAAUUGUGGGCUUUCCCAGAAGUUUGCUGACACCUGCUGCUCAUUUCCACUCUGCACUAGAAGAUAUUGUUUAGAUUGUCUUGAAAUCAUCCAAUGUAUGGUGGCAGGUUCCUUUGAUUGACAGUAAAGGAACCAGAUCAGCACAGAUACCUCAUGUAGAUAAUGGACUGCCUUCAUACAAUGCUAUCGACGAUUAUAUCCUCCAAAUCUUCACUUUCAUUGUAACAUUCAAGAUGAAUAGCAACACACACAGAAAAUGCUGGUGAACGCAGCAGGCCAGGCAGCAUCUAUAGGAAGAAGUACA